rnacentral:rRNA from 1 species
AUGCACGCUGGCGGCGUGCCUCAUCCCUGCCAGUCGAGCGAACGGACGAGAAGCUUGCUUCUCUGAUGUUAGCGGCGGACGGGUGAGUAACACGUGGAUAACCUACCUAUAAGACUGGGAUAACUUCGGGAAACCGGAGCUAAUACCGGAUAAUAUUUUGAACCGCAUGGGUCAAAAGUGAAAGACGGUCUUGCUGUCACUUAUAGAUGGAUCCGCGCUGCAUUAGCUAGUUGGUAAGGUAACGGCUUACCAAGGCAACGAUGCAUAGCCGACCUGAGGGGGUGAUCGGCCACACUGGAACUGAGACACGGUCCAGACUCCUACGGGAGGCAGCAGUAGGGAAUCUUCCGCAAUGGGCGAAAGCCUUACGGAGCAACGCCGCGUGAGUGAUGAAGGUCUUCGGAUCGUAAAACUCUGUUAUUAGGGAAGAACAUAUGUGUAAGUAACUGUGCACAUCUUGACGGUACCUAAUCAGAAAGCCACGGCUAACUACGUG